CCCCCUGAAAAAAUUCCUGUUUAUGUUCCUGGUUAAGAAAAGGCAUGGUGUGAGCAAGCAGCUCCCUUUGCUACCCCACUGGAGCAUGCCGUUUCCCAGAUUCCUUAAUUCUGUGCUUGAGCAGGUGGUUGCCCUGGCACACAGCUCCCUUCAAGGAGGGACAAUACUACCCAUGUUUAAUACAUUAUUACUGUGAACAAGUUUAGAGGAGCGACUGCCUCUGCCAGCAGGCAGAAACAGGACCAAUCACAACUUGCAAGCUGCUGAAUGACACCGAGAGUCCUGCCUCUGAAACUUUUGUUAUUUUCCCCCCCUCAGCCCACUUCAAUUGUUCCCACAACUUGGUCACAGACUCGGACAAGUUGCCAGAGAUCUACAGACACUUCCCACAGCCUGGAGCAGGCUUCUCUGUGCUUCACUAGCAAUCACACCAGAGAAACACUUUUGUUUCCCCAAAGCUGCCCAAGCACAGCCAAGCAAAGGUGGGUGACAGCGCCAUGGAGGAUUAACAAGGAAGUGGUGGAAAUUAAAACCAAGCAAACAGCCAAGGACACAAUGAAAUUAAGUGUGAUUCUACACUGCUUACUACUGCAGGAACAACCCAAAUCUACCAUCAAGAGUCUGCAGCAAGCACAAGAGGGCAGACUAAUGCACAUCAUGGAUCUUGCUAACAACAGAGGUGUCAACCUGCUGCUCAAUUUUCUGCUUAUUGUCUUGGUUCUGGUGCUCGCAUUUAUCCUUGUGAAGCUGAUGUGAACCUCUGUGAAGUUCUGCUUCAAGUCUUGCUUUGCAAUGAUAAUGUAGACACUUCAAACUAUCUGAAUAUAAAUAUGCAAAUCCUGCAGAGACUGAAAUACACGACAAAGUAUCCACAUGCCUAUUUUAUCAGAAGGCAAUCCUAAAAAUUGUCCACCAUCAUCUACUUGCCUCUGAGUAAAGAAAGCACCUAGAGCCUUGCUGAGUACCUGAAGAAAUCCAAGUAUGUGUCAUCAGUUACUGUAGUUUUCUCACUGCUACACCUGACCUGUAUUUAAAGAUCUACAAAAGAUAUGCAGCCUUCAGAGAACAUCAUUUCUGCAAAAAGGGACAGCAGAAAUCGAUUUUUUUAAAUGGAGUUUCUGUAGAACAUUACAGGAAAUGACACAGAAACAGCAGGAAGAGAGAAUGAAAUACAAACACUGGGUUGACAGCACGCACCAAAUUAUCUGUGGAGAGCAAAAGCACAGAUGCUCUAGAUGGAAACAAAGUUUUUUAUCCAUGAAAAGCAGCUUGCAGCAACUGAGAUGGGGAUAAGUUAAGUUUAAAUAUGAAAAUGUAAUUAUUAUACCUCUUUUGACCACCUACAGCUCAUAGCAACACCUUAAAAGCCAGAAGGCAUUAGUGUUAUCCAACAGUAUCAAAGGGAAGCAGUCAAAACAACUGAAAAGUAAACUACCAUUAGCAAGGGUUAUCAUAACUCUCCCUAGGAGCCCUUAACACUGACCUGCACUCAAGCAAGAGGUGCCUCUGCAUGAACCCAGGAAGUGUCCUACAGCCUCAAUAAGCCGGAUUUACCACUUAAGCACAGGUCAAGUGGGCAGUAUGGGAGCCCUCAAGCCAUAUUUGACAGACCACUUGUUACUUGCCAGUGCAAUCAUCCAGUCCAUAGCUUGUCCUCACUUUCAGCAUGCAACAUAAGCUUCUUACACGACCUUCUUCUAUGGCCCUUCACAGGAUGCAGUUUCCCCACAGGUCGUUGGAAGGACAGUGACCAAGAGCUCACUUCUGCUGGAAUUAUUUGCCCAGAAGGCAGGCAGCUCUAUACACUUGAUACACACUGGGAAAGAAGGUGGCCAGAAGUACAUUAUAUGUAUUACACUGGGGCCAAACAAGGACCUCCCUUUCCCAAAGACAACAUGAGAACAAAUUAUACCAAUGCAUAUGUAUUGUACAGUGAAUUUAAUGCCAUACAUACACACAUGAACAGUCUUUUGUACACAUGCAAAUGAAGCCAACGUUGCUCAUGGGGCGGGGAAGCCUCAGCUUCCAGCUUUUUAUUGCCAAGAGCACGCCCCCAAUUCAGCACAUUCACUGUUGAUCCAGCACUUCUCAGAAGUGCCAAGUGUAUUACAGAGCUGAUUGACUCCUGUUCAUCCUCAGGAUUUCCAGAUUACUGGAUAUUGUGGGUGGUUCAGUGAUCUGGAAGAAACUUAUCUGCGCUGGAGCUAAAAGAAGACUUCUACGAAACAGCAGUAUGCCUAGCAAAACACAGCUUAUACCAGUCCUACCUUUAACAGGUAUCCACAUUCUGCUCUAUGCUACCUACUCCAAAGCUUACACAGCCUUAGUGUGCUGGUUUGGGCUGGAAACGCAGUUUUCAGCCAAAUACAAAACCUAGUCCCAUACUAGCUACUGUAAGGAAAAUUAAAUCCAGCCCGCUCAAACCAGCACAAUUAGGUAGGCCAGCAUGGAUAGUUAAAACAAAAGCUUUUCUCCCACCUACUCUAUGUGCAAUAAACAUUUGAAACAGCUUCUGCAAACUACCUAUCUAUAACUUUUUAAUACUGACAUGGCAGUAUCAGUUCCUGCCUGUUUGCAUUUAAAGCAGAAAACUUUGCAUAGCUACAUCGCUGAAAGCACUUUAUUAAAUACUCUGAUAAUCUUGAAAUAUUCUACAUAAAAUAUAUAUAUAUGUACACAAGGGAUAUAAGUCCUAACACUUACGGAGUUAUCUAUCACUCUGGAAGAUUUCUGCUGAUGCUUGACAUAGAUGGCUCGAAGCAUACCAAAACCACACAAACUGACAUGAAGCCCACUCUUGUCUAAAGAAUAAAAAACAUUUUCCCAACAAAACAGCUAUUCACUGAUACUCCGCUCAGGACUGCACAAAGCUUAUUUGUCUGUCUGCAUAGUCGAAGGUUUCCCUAUCUUAGGGAAACCACUGUGACAGUUUAAUAGCUAAAAUGAGAUAAAUGAGGUAACCCUGACAAAAAACAAGCCAUACAUUCCUUUUUACUACUAGUGUCAUCAACAAUCAUGUAUUCCCAGAUUCAAAAUUACAUACAAAGGAAGCAUAUAAGAAACCCUGUUGUUAGCAUGCAGAAAGAAAAACAAUAUACAACCUCCUCUCAAUCAGCAAUGAAGUCAACAAAUGCUGAAAUACAUCGCUCAAACUGAAAUACGCAUUUUCUUAAGAUGACAUAUAAAACUGGCAAAGUUAUCAGCUAACCAGUGCCAAGUCUCUUUCUGCAAUCAAGCAUGGUCCAAGUUUGACUUCCCAUCAUCUGCUAGUGCUUACUCCAGACUGAGCCCACAUACGCAAUGUAACAAACAGAAUCCCAGUUGCUGGACUACCAACUUCACAGCCAAAAGAACAGAACAAAAGAGCUUAAUUGUGACUCACAGUAAAGGAGUUUACUCCACUAAGCAAAGGUGAUAACUGCUCAUGUUAAAAAGUUUCAUCUUGCUGAAAAGUAUGGUUUAUCAACAUGUGACACAGGAAAAAUGUUGACAUGAAUAAUUUUUAGUUAACUGCCAGGACCAUACGAAAAACUAGCUUUCAGCUAAUAUCAGAAUAAACUUUUCUGUGGCAACAAUA